CUGCUAUCGGAUUGAUACUAAGCCAUGCGAGUCUUUGUAGUAAUACAAGGCAGACGGCUCAGUAACACGUAGUCAACCUACCCUAUGGACAAGAAUAAUCUCGGGAAACUGGGCAUAAUUCUUGAUAGAUCAUAAUGCCUGGAAUGGUUUAUGGUUAAAAUGAUUCGUCGCCAUAGGAUGGGACUGCGGCCUAUCAGCUUGUUGGUGAGGUAAUGGCCCACCAAGGCGAUUACAGGUACGGGCUCUGAGAGGAGAAGCCCGGAGAUGGGUACUGAGACACGGACCCAGGCCCUAUGGGGCGCAGCAGGCGAGAAAACUUUGCAAUGUGCGAAAGCACGACAAGGUUAAUCCGAGUGAUUUCUGCUAAAGAAAUCUUUUGCCAGUCAUAAAACCACUGGUGAAUAAGGGGUGGGCAAGUUCUGGUGUCAGCCGCCGCGGUAAAACCAGCACCUCAAGUGGUCAGGAUGAUUAUUGGGCCUAAAGCAUCCGUAGCCGGCUUUGUAAGUUUUCGGUUAAAUCCAUGUGCUCAACGCAUGGGCUGCCGAAAAUACUGCAUGGCUAGGGAGUGGGAGAGGUAGACGGUACUCGGGAGGAAGUGGUAAAAUGCUUUGAUCUCUCGAUGACCACCUGUGGCGAAGGCGGUCUACCAGAACACGUCCGACGGUGAGGGAUGAAAGCUGGGGGAGCAAACCGGAUUAGAUACCCGGGUAGUCCCAGCCGUAAACUAUGCAAACUCAGUGAUGCAUUGGCUUGUGGCCAAUGCAGUGUUGCAGGGAAGCCGUUAAGUUUGCCGCCUGGGAAGUACGUACGCAAGUAUGAAACUUAAAGGAAUUG
rnacentral:rRNA from 1 species